AGAAGAACAUCUUCUUCUGGCGGUCCCGAUUUCACUUCGUGAUGUGCCAGCGGCUGAAUUAUUCUGGCGUCAUUAACCUAAAUUUAUGAGGUUAGAUGAAAUCAGAGGAGCACAAAGUGAAGGCAAAUACACGAGAUGAAUUGCUUCGCCGCAUCAUGGACGCUGCAGAAUUGGUUAGCAACCAACCACAGACAAUUGAACAGGCAACACAUGUUGUCGCUAGAGCGCAAAAGUGCAUCGACGUUCAUGGUGGGAUAUUCGAACCUGUUGUGUGAACUGUACAACAUCUGUACGGUGAGCCAAAAUGGACCGUGAAGUAGAUGUCAGGUUGC